AUGGGCAGGUUCCGGAUGCCGGAGAACUCGAUCCCGAAGGAGGCGGCGUACCAGAUCAUCAACGACGAGCUGAUGCUGGACGGGAACCCGCGGCUGAACCUGGCGUCCUUCGUCACCACCUGGAUGGAGCCCGAGUGCAACAAGCUCAUGAUGGACUCCAUCAACAAGAACUACGUCGACAUAGACGAUACCCCGUCACCACCGAGCUCCAGGGGUUGCAAAAGCCUUUGUCAUGUGGCAGACAUAGUAGCAGGCAGUAGGUGCUAA
rnacentral:rRNA from 1 species